rfam:Dipodomys ordii contig_48313, whole genome shotgun sequence.
UGGGAUGUAGCUCAGUGGCAAAGCACUUGCCUAGCAAGUGCAAAGUCCUGGGUUCGAUCCCCAGUACCAA